AAGACUCUGGUGAGGCAGCUCGUCUUCUCUGAAUGUUGCAAUCAGAUGGUGGAGAGACCCCGAGGAACAGCAGCUUUAAUUGCUGAGGGUCCAUUUUUGAACCCGGGACAGCUCUGAAUCGGUUGGAUCUAGACGGACCAAUCCUCACCAUGCUCUUUGCUUCAUCAUUGAUUGCAUUGUUGGCUUUAGCUUCAAGAGUCCUUCAAUGCAAAGCUGAGAAGAUCGAGCAAGAUCCCCUUGUGAUAUCCUCUGAUGGAAGAAAGCUAGACCUCUCUUGCAACCACUCCUCUGCUACAACAGCUAGUACAAUCUUUUGGUACCGGCAGCUCCCCAACAAGCCUCCCACUUUGAUGGUCUAUGGACAUCUUUCAGGAGAGAAGAGUAGCGAUCCAGAGGGGGUCUUGCUUCUCACCAAAGACCGUAAAGGCAGCAUUUUCUCCUUUACCAGCGUGACCUUGAAUGAUUCUGCAACGUACUACUGUGCACUGAGUGACACAGUGCUACACUCUGGUGUCUCUCCUGUGCAAUAACUCCUGCAUUCUGGCUCUGAAGGAAGGCUUAGAGGUCAAUGAAAACACAUCACUGUUUUCUCCCUGCAGAGAAGGCUGUUAGGAAUCACGGCAGGGAGAAUGUUGUUGCACUCAGUUGCUGCUUGAGGGCCUUCCGUGGGCACCUGGAUGGCCACUGUGAGAACAGAAUGCUAGACUAGAUGAACGUCUGACCUGAUCCAGCAGGCUCUUCUCUUCUUUUGUUCAGGGUAACAAAGACAAAGUUCAACCAAGGCCAUUGACAACCAUUUGAAAGUUUUCCUUGACCCACUACACUCAAGACUGUCUAAAAUUGGGAACAUGGGCUGGAAAGUCUUGGCAGCUCCAGAUACAGCUAGAAACCUCCUAGCAUCUAGUCCGGAAAACUCAUCUCACAGUGGCCAAAUAGGUGCCUUUGGUCUUUAUGGCCACUGUUUGCCCCCAUAAGUAAGGAAGAACAUGAACUGGAGUCAGCUACUGACUUUGACAGAUGUCCACAAGAUGAGAUGUUUGGGCUCUCCACCAUCCUAUCUAGAAUUCUGGUCUGGAAGCUCUCAGCACCCUGUAUAAAAUCAUACUAAAUUUUGAGACUUAUGUUAACGUUUGGUUGUUGUGUAUUAGGUUUUUGCAAACUACCCUGUGACUAUUUUUGGUGAAGGAUGGAAAAUAAACAAGUAAAUAAAUAAUUCCUGCAUUAAGCAGGGGGUUGAACUUGAUGGUUUU